AGAGUUUGAUCAUGGCUCAGGACGAACGCUGGCGGCGUGCCUAACACAUGCAAGUCGAGCGAGAACGCCUCCUUCGGGAGGUUAGUAAAGCGGCGAACGGGUGAGUAACACGUGAGCGAUCUGCCCGACGGCGGGGGAUAACUCAGGGAAACCUGAGCUAAUACCGCAUACAGCACCGGCUUGGAAGCCGGAUGUGAAAGCUGGCCUCUCGAAGAAGCUGGCACCGUCGGAUGAGCUCGCGGCCUAUCAGCUUGUUGGUGGGGUAACGGCCUACCAAGGCGAUGACGGGUAGCUGGCGUGAGAGCGUGGCCAGCCACACUGGGACUGAGACACGGCCCAGACUCCUACGGGAGGCAGCAGUGGGGAAUAUUGCGCAAUGGGCGAAAGCCUGACGCAGCGACGCCGCGUGGGGGAGGAAGGCCUCAGGGUUGUAAACCCCUGUCAGGUGGGACGAACCACGGAUCGGUCAACACCCGGUCCGCCUGACGGUACCACCAGAGGAAGCUCCGGCUAACUCCGUGCCAGCAGCCGCGGUAAUACGGAGGGAGCGAGCGUUGUUCGGAAUCACUGGGCGUAAAGGGCGCGUAGGCGGUCGGGUAAGUCGAGUGUGAAAUUCCGGGGCUCAGCCCCGUGGACUGCACCCGAUACUGCUCGACUAGAGAGAGGUAGGGGCGAGUGGAAUUCCCGGUGUAGCGGUGGAAUGCGUAGAUAUCGGGAAGAAUACCGGUGGCGAAGGCGGCUCGCUGGGCCUUUUCUGACGCUGAAGCGCGAAAGCGUGGGGAGCAAACAGGAUUAGAUACCCUGGUAGUCCACGCCGUAAACGAUGGGUACUAGGUGUUGGGAGGAUUGACCCUUUCAGUGCCGACGCUAACGCAUUAAGUACCCCGCCUGGGGAGUACGGCCGCAAGGCUGAAACUCAAAUGAAUUGACGG
rnacentral:rRNA from 1 species